UACGAGUGGCCCAAGCGUUAUCCGGAAUCAUUGGGUUUAAAGGGUCCGUAGGCGGGAUAAUAAGUCAGUGGUGAAAGUCUGCAGCUCAACUGUAGAAUUGCCAUUGAUACUGUUAUUCUUGAGUGUUUAUGAAGUGGUUAGAAUAUGUAGUGUAGCGGUGAAAUGCAUAGAUAUUACAUAGAAUACCGAUUGCGAAGGCAGAUCACUAAUAAUUUACUGACGCUGAGGGACGAAAGCGUAGGUAGCGAACAGG
rnacentral:misc_RNA from 1 species